rnacentral:rRNA from 1 species
AACGAGCGCUGGCGGCAGGCUUAACACAUGCAAGUCGAACGCCCCGCAAGGGGAGUGGCAGACGGGUGAGUAACGCGUGGGAAUCUACCCAGAUCUUCGGAACAACUGAGGGAAACUUCAGCUAACACCGGAUACGCCCUACGGGGGAAAGAUUUAUCGGUUCUGGAUGAGCCCGCGUUGGAUUAGCUAGUUGGUGAGGUAACGGCUCACCAAGGCGACGAUCCAUAGCUGGUCUGAGAGGAUGAUCAGCCACACUGGGACUGAGACACGGCCCAGACUCCUACGGGAGGCAGCAGUGGGGAAUAUUGGACAAUGGGCGAAAGCCUGAUCCAGCCAUGCCGCGUGAGUGAUGAAGGCCUUAGGGUUGUAAAGCUCUUUCAGUAGGGAAGAUAAUGACGGUACCUACGGAAGAAGCCCCGGCUAACUUCGUGCCAGCCGCCGCAGUAAGAC